UACGAAGGGGGCUAGCGUUGUUCGGAAUUACUGGGCGUAAAGGGCGCGUAGGCGGUGUGUCAAGUCAGGCGUGAAAGCCCCGGGCUCAACCUGGGAACCGCGCUUGAGACUGGCACGCUAGAGUUCGGGAGGGGAGACUGGAAUUCCUGGUGUAGCGGUGAAAUGCGCAGACAUCAGGAGGAACACCGGUGGCGAAGGCGGGUCUCUGGGCCGAUACUGACGCUGAGGAGCGAAAGCGUGGGGAGCGAACAGG
rnacentral:rRNA from 1 species